UGGGGGCUUUCCGUCUUGAGAAGCCCAAGACAGAAGAUGGGAAAAACUUUCUCCUGAGGGUCACCCACUUUUCCUGCUGGUGACUGGAAAUCUUUCUCCCCAACAUUUCCCAAUUGAAGGGACUUUCUGAAGAGAAACAUAAGCAGACUUUACCUCAGCUCCUGUUGUCCAGGGGACCAUCUGCCAACCCCUUCUAGAAAUCAGGAUUCGGGGUAUCCAUGCAGCACUUUAGUCACAUGACUCACUGGCAUCCUGACAACACAGUUCUAGUUGCAAAUGAUAUUAAGAAAGCAUUUCUGGUGGCUUCCAAACAGCAGAGGCUGCAAGCAUAUGGAACAGGGAGGAGCAGCAAGAAUCCAUAAUGUCAGACUGUCCAAUACCAGGGCAUAUAGAUCAUCUGGUCCAGAAGAUCUGAAAUCAUCAAGGUCAAGCAGGUACUUUCUUACUAUCUUCUUACUUCUCUUGUGUAUAAAUUUCCUGUGACUCAUUUUUAUUCUGCCCUUUUUAGUUUCAUUUUUCUUGGUAGAGAAACACAUUAACAAUAAAAACUGAGCAGCUCUGCA
rnacentral:lncRNA from 1 species